rnacentral:rRNA from 1 species
UACGGAGGGUGCAAGCGUUAUCCGGAUUUACUGGGUUUAAAGGGUGCGUAGGUGGGCCUGUAAGUCAGUGGUGAAAUCUUCAAGCUUAACUUGGAAACUGCCAUUGAUACUAUAGAUCUUGAAUUAUCUGGAGGUAAGCGGAAUAUGUCAUGUAGCGGUGAAAUGCUUAGAGAUGACAUAGAACACCCAUUGCGAAGGCAGCUUACUACGGAUUGAUUGACACUGAGGCACGAAAGCGUGGGGAUCAAACAGG